UGCUGAGUGCCAAGCAGGGAGGUCAUGGGUCCCAUUUUUAUUGUCUUUGUGUUGAUCACAUUCCACACGCCGGUUUAGUCGUGCUCCAAAAAACACAGGAUGUCACCGAGCUGGUUGGUUCAACCUGAUGAUUUCACCUGAUAACAUUGUGUUUCUACCUGUGCUAAAUUCGUGGUUCUCCUUCACCGGCCUGGGAUACCGGAUCCAAUCUCUCUUCUGCCUGUGUAGCUCAUUUCCUUCUGCCUGCACUGGGACAAUCUGCAGCUCUCUGCAGGUCAUUCACCAGGUCCCCCCGUGUGGUUUUGGGAUUUUUGCUCACCGUUCUCAUGAUCAUUUUGACCCCACGGGAUGAGAUCUUGCGUGGAGCCCCAGACCGACGGAGAUAAUCAGUGGUCUUGUAUGUCUUCCAUUUUCUGAUAAUUGCUCCCACGGUUGAUUUUUUCACACCAAGCUGCUUGCCUAUUGUAGAUUCACUCUUCCCAGUCUGGUGCAGGUCUAAGAUUCUUUUCCUGGUGUCCUUCGACAGCUCUUUGGUCUUGGCCAUAGUGGAGUUUGGAGUCUGACUGUUUGAGGCUGUGGACAGGUGUCUUUUAUACAGAUAAUAAGUUCAAACAGGUUCCAUAAAUACAGGUAAUGAGUGGAGGACAGAAGAGCUUCUUAAAAAUGAAGUUACAGGUCUGUGAGAGCCAGAGAUCUUCCUUGU